CUUUUGACCAUUUGUUUGUUCACUGUCUGGUGGCAGAGCUUCACGCAAAGAAAAGCAAGGUGAAGAUAUGGACGAACUACACACCCACUUCUACAUAUCCAAAAACAAUUGAUAACAAGAAUUUGGCUGGAAAGGCUUGGACCGUCGUAGUGGGAAGUCUGAAGCCCAACUUUGCGAAUCACGUGGAUUGGGGGUCUUUAAUGCCACCGUUGAAGUAUCAGGGAGAUACCGACUUAUGUUGGGCGUACUCGACAGCGACGUGUGCAGAGGCCCUAUACUUCAUUGAGAUCGGAGAGCGCAUAUCAGUGGACAUUACUAGCAUGAUCGAGAGUGCCAAGGACAACAUGUUACCAGAUGGCACGAAUUUGCCCGAGAACGGCUUCCAAGUCAUGGCAAAGGGUGCCCUUUGUUAGCAGGGCUGGCCCCUCAAGGGUAAGGAAGUGUUGUUUUUCUUGGGUGAAGUUAAGAAAUUGUUGGGCGAACAAGAGAUGAAACAAGCACUUGAUUUUGGCCCAAUUUGUGUCAUUUUGGAUUGUCAUCCAUGCAUGUUAUCCUUUGC